GAUGAACGCUGGCGGCGUGCCUAAUACAUGCAAGGCGAGCGAACAGAUGAGGAGCUUGCUCCUCUGACGUUAGCGGCGGACGGGUGAGUAACACGUGGAUAACCUACCUAUAAGACUGGGAUAACUUCGGGAAACCGGAGCUAAUACCGGAUAAUAUAUUGAACCGCAUGGUUCAAUAGUGAAAGACGGUUUUGCUGUCACUUAUAGAUGGAUCCGCGCCGCAUUAGCUAGUUGGUAAGGUAACGGCUUACCAAGGCGACGAUGCGUAGCCGACCUGAGAGGGUGAUCGGCCACACUGGAACUGAGACACGGUCCAGACUCCUACGGGAGGCAGCAGUAGGGAAUCUUCCGCAAUGGGCGAAAGCCUGACGGAGCAACGCCGCGUGAGUGAUGAAGGUCUUCGGAUCGUAAAACUCUGUUAUUAGGGAAGAACAAAUGUGUAAGUAACUAUGCACGUCUUGACGGUACCUAAUCAGAAAGCCACGGCUAACUACGUG
rnacentral:rRNA from 1 species